rnacentral:rRNA from 1 species
AUGCAUGAUGUCCCAGUUCGACCCCACUUCGUCCACACUAAUUUCCCCACCCCGAAGAAAACCCUAGCUCACUUCACUCUCGCUCCGUUCUACGUCUCUUCUGCUCCCAAUCCUCAUUUGAUCUCCUCCUCCUCUCCGUCUACCAUGUCCAGCUCUGACAAUGGCAGAGCUUACAGAUACAGCGACGAUUGGGAUGCCUUCCUCCGCAUUGCGGAUGGCGACGAGGAUGAGCUGGCCCUCCGCACCGCGCUGCAGCGCUCACGGGUGGACACAAGCGUCAGCUCCAGCUUUGCUCUGUCCCAUGUUACCCGCCGCAGUGCUGAUGCCGGAGCAGGCCCGUAA